rnacentral:lncRNA from 1 species
UUUUUUUUUUUUUUUUGGAGUAACAUGCAUGCUGCGUAUUUCUGCUUGUCCGAACAAAACGAGAUGUCCUAACAAAAUACCAUCUCGAGAGAAAUAGGCGAGCGUAGGUAUUAUUGGAAAGCGGUGGAAAAUACCCAAAUUGUGUUAGCAUUUCGUGUGCGACCGUGUUAGAGAGAGCACGUCCUAGAAAGGUAAAAUCCCCAUUUCCGUUGCGGUGUCACUGGUCCAUGUCCAGAUCAGAUCCAAGCGCCAUACACAUCAAACCAAAACCAGAUCUGACCAGCACAGCACAGUCCCAGCAAACAGUGCACGCGCGCAUGAUGAAAGAGACAGAUCUAUGAUUAAACAAUGAUGGAAUAAUACAAUGAGGGGUAAUAAUAAAAAUAUAAAUCAAAUCUCCUCAAUUUGGUACAGGAAGGGGGCAAGAAAGAAAGAAUCCGAGGCGGACGUGCGUGAGUGGGACUACACAGGAAGGAGAUGCCGGCCCGUCCGGCCAGUUAGAAAAAAUAGACACGAGAUACAGCACAAAAUGUGGUGGCAUGCACAGACACGGACGCAGACAGCUCGUCCGAAAGGCGCGGUGCAGCGGCCGCCGCAUGAUUGCGUGUCCUCGUGGCGGGCCUCGACAGGGCCGGGCCGGCCGGCUGGCCUCCCGCGUUCGCCGGCUUUGCUCGCCUAGGCGAGGAGGGCGAGGAGGCCCAGCGCCAUCGCGCACGCCGACAUGAUGUUCCCUGCCAUGCUCUGGAUCGCGCCCUGCAGUAACCAGGCAAAAAUUUAAUCGGCAGGUAAAAAUAACGUGUUUACUAGCAGGAGCAGUGUCGUGGAGGCUUCCGGAAUGCAUUGUUUACGGGCGCGGUACACGCUCCGAGUUGUAUAACAGCAGUGACUUGUAGAAGCUUGACUUUUGAAAUGUUUAAUUCUUUUAUUUACUUUCCAUUAACUGCUCUGUCCGUAGCAACGGCAUGAUGCACAUGCGUGCCUGGCCAACAUGUCGGGACGGGCCAAAUGCGGAUGCAUCUACCACCGCCACUGUUCUCACUCAUCAGUCACUUCCCUUUCCCUAGUCACAUGCUUGGUGGAGCCAAACAAAGCUAUGGUCCUGCUAAUGAGCAAGCCAUUAUGGCACUAAUUACUAAAUUAGCCAUCUAAGCACUCAUAGGUGUAAUACUAAACUCAGUAGCCACUGUAAGUAAGAGCAUUGCUAAUUAUUUUACUACGUACUAACAGCGGGCAAAGUUCGGCGUCGCGUCCAACUACGUAGCAGUUCUUUGCCAAAGGAAAAAGAAACUACUGUCGGUUGUGCGUAGAUCAGUUGUGAAACUUCGACGGGCACUGUCGGUUCAAAUGGCGUAGUAUAGAGGGUGGAGAUGGGAACGUACCGCGGUGUCGUCGGCGGCAGCAUCGAGUGCGGGGCCGGGGGCUUCGGAGUCGUCGGAGGCCGCGGGGGCCUUGGCCUUCUUGGACUUGGUGGGGGCCUCGGCGGCGACGGGAGCGGGGGCCGGGGCCUUGCUCUUCUUCUUCUUGGAGGACGACUUCUUCUUCUUCUUGGCCGGGGCGGGCGCGGGGGCGUCGGGCUUGGUGGGGAUGGUGGCGGGUGCCUCGGCGACGGGAGCGGGAGGGGCGGCGACGGGGGCCUCGACCGGCGGGGUGCUGGCCUUGGGAGCCGGGGCAGGGGGCGAGGCGGCGGCCUUGGUGGGCGGUGCCGCGGCGGGAGCCUUGGCUGGUGCUGGGGUGGCCUNNN